GCCCUUAGAGUUUGAUCAUGGCUCAGGAUGAACGCUAGCGGCAGGCUUAAUACAUGCAAGUCGGACGGUAACAGACCUGGCAACGGGUGCUGACGAGUGGCGCACGGGUGCGUAACACGUAUGCAACCUACCCUGUACUGGGGGAUAACCCUGAGAAAUCGGGGCUAAUACCCCAUGGCAUCAUAGAGUGGCAUCGCUAUUAUGAUUAAAGAUUCAUUGGCACAGGAUGGGCAUGCGCCCCAUUAGUUAGUUGGUGAGGUAACGGCUCACCAAGGCUGUGAUGGGUAGGGGUUCUGAGAGGAUUAUCCCCCACACUGGUACUGAGACACGGACCAGACUCCUACGGGAGGCAGCAGUAAGGAAUAUUGGGCAAUGGAGGCAACUCUGACCCAGCCAUGCCGCGUGCAGGAAGACGGCCCUAUGGGUUGUAAACUGCUUUUGUAUGGGACUAACCGUGGCUACGAGUAGUCAUCUGCAUGUACCAUACGAAUAAGCAUCGGCUAACUCCGUGCCAGCAGCCGCGGUAAUACGGAGGAUGCGAGCGCUACCCGGAAUUAUUGGGUUUAAAGGGUGCGUAGGCUGACAAGUAAGUCAGUGGUGAAAUACCCCGGCUUAACCGGGGGGUUGCCAUUGAAACUGUUUGUCUUGAGUGUAAUCGAAGUGGGCGGAAUGAGGUGUGUAGCGGUGAAAUGCAUAGAUAUACCUCAGAACACCGAUAGCGCAGGCAGCUCACUAGCUUACAACUGACGCUGAGGCACGAAAGCGUGGGUAUCAAACAGGAUUAGAUACCCUGGUAGUCCACGCUGUAACGAUGAUCACUA
rnacentral:rRNA from 1 species